rnacentral:pre_miRNA from 1 species
UAUAAGGGAUUUUGAGUUUUUGCUUGCAACGUUUGACCAUUCGUCUUAUUCAAAAAAAUUUGAAAUUAUUAAUUAUUUUAUUUGUGACUUACUUUAUUAUCUACAGUACUUUAAGCACAACUUUUUGUUUUUUAUAUUUGCAAAAAAAAAUUGAAUAAGACGAGUGGUCAAACAUUGCAAGCAAAAACUGAAAAUCCCUUAUA